GGAGCAGAAGACUUUACUGGAGGAGGAGAUAUAAAUCGGAGCAAACCUCUAGAGCUGAUACUGAUGCCCUCUUUGCCAAGCUUUGAGGCUGGUUAUUUAUUUCCUAAAAGUUGGCCUUGAAUCAUUUAUGAUGAUGAUGACUGAGGACCAUUUAUAACCUACUUAGUCACAGGGGCUGAAAAAACACUACCCACGAUGCUCGAUUUAAUCUUCAUAAAAGCCCUGUAAUGGUUUCGUUCCCCUUCAUGUUUCUGCUGCUCUUGCUCCCCACAACUCACAACCUGUCUCCUGUCCUCCUUAAGUAAUUAACUUUGCAGCCCCCCUGCUAACAUUUGCUCCCCAGAGAGGUAAGAAACUCUGAUGUUUACAUCACUGGGAGACUUUUUAUUCCUUUGAAUUUCGAAAUAGGUCCCUCAGCUCAGCCAGUUGUGAGUUUCUCUGUAUUGUGCUCUGUCAAAGGGACUGAGAGAGUCCUGUUUCUGCCUCUUUGGGUCAUGAAUCACUGCCUUAAUUAAAAUUGGAAUUGUGAAUGAUACUUCUCAUUGCCUAAAUGGUAACAGAAAUGGAAAAGCAGUACUUUCCUGCUUCUAGUUUCUCUCCGUAUAUUAAAGACAAAAACCAGCUCUGUAAAAAAGUCAUAUACUAUCAUAAAAGGAAAAAUGGAGUGAAAUUUAACAAUUUUCUCCCUAAAAGCCUAUGGUU